AGUCGAACGCACUUUCGUUAAUUGAUUUUGAGAUGCUUGCAUCGAAGAUGAUUUUAACUAUAAAGUGAGUGGCGAACGGGUGAGUAACACGUGGGUAACCUGCCCAGAAGUGGGGGAUAACACCUGGAAACAGAUGCUAAUACCGCAUAACAAAAUUAACCGCAUGGUUGAUUUUUAAAAGAUGGCUUCGGCUAUCACUUCUGGAUGGACCCGCGGCGUAUUAGCUAGUUGGUGAGAUAAAGGCUCACCAAGGCAGUGAUACGUAGCCGACCUGAGAGGGUAAUCGGCCACAUUGGGACUGAGACACGGCCCAGACUCCUACGGGAGGCAGCAGUAGGGAAUCUUCCACAAUGGACGCAAGUCUGAUGGAGCAACGCCGCGUGAGUGAUGAAGGCUUUCGGGUCGUAAAACUCUGUUGUUGGAGAAGAACGUGUGUGAGAGUAACUGCUCAUGCAGUGACGGUAUCCAACCAGAAAGCCACGGCUAACUACGUGCCAGCAGCCGCGGUAAUACGUAGGUGGCAAGCGUUAUCCGGAUUUAUUGGGCGUAAAGCGAGCGCAGGCGGUCUUUUAAGUCUAAUGUGAAAGCCUUCGGCUUAACCGAAGAAGUGCAUUGGAAACUGGGAGACUUGAGUGCAGAAGAGGAGAGUGGAACUCCAUGUGUAGCGGUGAAAUGCGUAGAUAUAUGGAAGAACACCAGUGGCGAAGGCGGCUCUCUGGUCUGCAACUGACGCUGAGGCUCGAAAGCAUGGGUAGCGAACAGGAUUAGAUACCCUGGUAGUCCAUGCCGUAAACGAUGAAUGCUAAGUGUUGGAGGGUUUCCGCCCUUCAGUGCUGCAGCUAACGCAUUAAGCAUUCCGCCUGGGGAGUACGACCGCAAGGUUGAAACUCAAAAGAAUUGACGGGGGCCCGCACAAGCGGUGGAGCAUGUGGUUUAAUUCGAAGCUACGCGAAGAACCUUACCAGGUCUUGACAUCUUCUGCUAACCUAAGAGAUUAGGCGUUCCCUUCGGGGACGGAAUGACAGGUGGUGCAUGGUUGCCUUCAGCUCCUGUCGUGAGAUGUUGGGUUAAGUCCCGCAACGAGCGC
rnacentral:rRNA from 1 species